AUAGUACUCCCUCCGUCCCAUAUUAAGUGAUUAAAAACUGCCUAUAUAUGGAUGUAUCUAUACCUAAAAAAUGUCUAGAUGCAUAUAGUAGAAAGUCACUUAAUAUGAGACGGAGGGAGUAUGUC
rfam:Brachypodium distachyon strain Bd21 chromosome 2, whole genome shotgun sequence.